UUAUUUGAUUUAGAUGCAGAUUGGAGAACGACCUGAGCCCAAUUUCUCACCUGAACCUGAUAGAGUUCUAUCCCUACCCUCAGUGUUUCGUGGCAGAACAAGGCCUCAAAAUACCUUCACCAAGCGAAGAACUGUAGCUGGAAGGGCCCGGGUGGUGAUUAGAGACGUCCUAUGUAUGCCAUUUAGUACACCUCAGCAAGAGGAUAAUUCUUGGAAAGCACCAAGAGGUCAGGACAAGGAGAAAUAGGCUUCUGUCGGGCUGACAGGGAAACUUAAUCUGGACUCUACAUGGAAUUCUCAGGAGGUGCAACAUGAAAUUCGAUCAUUCUUCCAAACAACGUUCUGCGCAGAUGGAGAAGAGUUUGUUUUUUCAUUUUUACAGUGUUUGCCAGGUGGAAGGAAACUGAUCAAACCCAACACCUCUGUCAGUUUUUCUUGGAAUGGUGCCGAAGUCAUUAGUCUUGCAGGACAAGGAGCUCUGUACAUUCUUAGUCACCACAACCUGCCAGAAAGUGAGGAACAUGAAUCACCAAGUAAGGAGACUCUGUCUUUCCUCAGUUCUACCAAUUCAUUGACCCAUCAAAUAAAUCUUGAAAAUGAUGUUCAGCAGCUAAAACAGGUAAGGGACAGGAGAUGUUACACAUAUAUAUUAGUACCCCUGUAUUUAUUUAUUUUUCUUGCUCUCUCCAGUCUUGUUUCAUCAUAUUGAGUUAAGUAACCUGGUCUUAAAUGUUAAACUAUUCGCUUAUGGAAAACUAAAAAUAUAAUAUGUACAGGAUCACUAAUUCCAGGCAAUUAAGUUCCUAGUGGUUUAAUAAACUGAUCAGGUGAGGUCCUUUGUAGGAC